rnacentral:rRNA from 1 species
ACGGAAGGCAGCAGCUAAGAAUAUUCCGCAAUGGACGAAAGUCUGACGGAGCGACGCCGCGUGGAUGAUGAAGGUCGGAAGAUUGUAAAAUCCUUUUAAGUAUGAAGAAUAAGCAGGUCAGGUAAUGGUCCUGUGGUGACGGUAGUACUUGAAUAAGCAACGGCUAAUUACGUGCCAGCAGCCGCGGUAAUACGUAAGUUGCGAGCGUUGUUCGGAAUUAUUGGGCGUAAAGGGCAUGUAGGCGGAUAUGCAAGCUUGGUGUGAAGGGCGGGAGCUCAACUCCCGAACUGCGUUGAGAACUGCAUAACUAGAGUGACUGAGGGGCAGGCAGAAUUCCAGGUGUAGGGGUGAAAUCUGUAGAUAUCUGGAAGAAUACCAAUGGCGAAGGCAGCCUGCCAGCAGAUGACUGACGCUGAGGUGCGGAGGUGCGGGGAGCAAACAGGAUUAAAUACCCUGGUA